rnacentral:rRNA from 1 species
CCUACGGGAGGCAGCAGUGGGGAAUAUUUCACAAUGGGGGAAACCCUGAUGGAGCGACGCCGCGUGAGGGAAGCAGUAAUUCGGUAUUUAAAGCCCUAUCAGCAGGGAAGAAAAUGACAGUACCUGUGUCAGAAGACGCGGCUACCUCCGAGACAGCACCCGCUGUAAUACGUAGGGGGCAAGCUGAAUCCGGAUUUACUGGGUGUAAAGGGAACGUAGACGGCAGUGCAAGUCUGGAGUGAAAGGCGGGGGCUCAACCCCCGGCCUGCACAGGACACUGUAAGGCUGGAGUGCAGGAGAGGGAAGUGGAAUUCCUAGUGUAGCGGUGAAAUGCGUAGAUAUUAGGAGGAACACCAGUGGCGAAGGCGGCUUACUGGACUGUAACUGACGUUGAGGCUCGAAAGCGUGGGGAGCAAACAGGAUUAGAUACCCGGGUAGUC